CAGCCGCCACGGGAAUACGAGGGGGGCAAGCGUUGUUCGGAAUUAUUGGGCGUAAAGGGUGCGUAGGCGGUUUGGCAAGUCUUGUGUGAAAUCUUCGGGCUCAACCCGAAGCCUGCACGAGAAACUGCCGGGCUUGAGUAUUGGAGAGGUGAGUGGAAUUUCCGGUGUAGCGGUGAAAUGCGUAGAUAUCGGAAGGAACACCUGUGGCGAAAGCGGCUCACUGGACAAUAACUGACGCUGAUGCACGAAAGCUAGGGGAGCAAACAGGAUUAGAUACCCCAGUAGUCCCUGUCUCUUAUAA
rnacentral:rRNA from 1 species